CCAGAGCCGGCCUUAGGGCGAAGCGAACGAAGCGACCGCUUCAGGCCCACAGCUGGAGGGGGCCCACUGCGCCCAAGUGAAAUUCGCAUGUUUGCCAAUUUAGUUGCUAGCAACUCAACGGCCAUGCAAGAACUGGAAUAUCUGUAUGAGAAGGAGUUAGCAACUGCCAUGCCUAAUGUUGCUGUGGCUCUCAGAACAGCAUUGACUGUGCCUAUAACAGUAUCUUCGGCGGAGAGGAGUUUUUCAAAACUCAAGCUUAUCAAACAUUACUUGCGAAGCUCCAUGAGCUACGAACGUCUGAAUAGUCUGGCAUUGAUUUCAGUUGAGCAAGAGAUAGUCGAAUCUCUUGAUUAUUCUGAACUUAUUCAUGAAUUUACCAGUGCCAAGGUUCGAAAAGUGUCUUUUGUGUGAAAUAGAUUUCAAUAUCUGCUGGUAAGUUAUUUUAUACGGAAAUCUGAAUAUCUCGAAAGUAUGAAAACAAGCUUUAAAACCGAAUAAAAAUGUAAAAACAAAAUAAUGUGGAUCUCA